UACGUAGGGGGCUAGCGUUGUCCGGAAUCAUUGGGCGUAAAGCGCGUGUAGGCGGCCCGAUAAGUCCGCUGUGAAAGUCCAGGGCUCAACCCUGGGAUCCCGGUGGAUACUGUCGGGCUCGAGUCCGGAAGAGGCGAGUGGAAUUCCUGGUGUAGCGGUGAAAUGCGCAGAUAUCAGGAGGAACACCAAUGGCGAAGGCAGCUCGCUGGGACGUGACUGACGCUGAGACGCGAAAGCGUGGGGAGCAAACAGG
rnacentral:rRNA from 1 species